AUCCGCACAAUGCGUGGCGACCAACGAGAUGUGAAGGCAGCGAGGUCCUCCGCAUAGGGCGGCCAACUGCGCAAACAAAUGUCGAUCGUCCGCCUCGCACGCCUCAUAGGCGGCAUCGCGUGCUGCGCGGGCAUCUGCGUGCGGUAGGAGCGCGUCGGCCACGGCCCGGUUGGCAGCGCGCGCUGCGACGGCGAGCCACCCGGCGACCACGCACCUCAGAGGAUGUGUCUGGGCCAUGAUCUGCGCCGUGCGCGAGACGGCGCUCUCGGGGCGGCUCAUGGCAGCGACCGCCUCUCUGUUUUGCGCCGUCGGCGCAUUGGGGUUGUUUGCCUGGUCGAAGAGAUCGCCCAGCAGGCGCCCCCAUUCGACAUCGCAGCGGCAGCGGCAGCGUCCCUCUAGGUGCGGCCGCAUCUUUCGCGUGCCCAUGGCCGCCAGCGCCUCAGCGUCGAGAUGGUCAAAUGCACAUUGGAUGGCCUCGCAGGAGACGGCGAACCCAUAACGCAGUCGGCGCCAGCGAUCGAAUUGCAAUCUGCGCGGUCCGUGGCCGCGACACGAGCACGCCGAGGCGACCUCGGUAGCGUCUGGUUCGACGCCCAUCGAGAUGAGCCAUUCGAGGACGUCGACGCGGCACGUCUUGGCAGCCGCCGUCACGGCAGCGCCGGCGUGCUCGGCGCCGCAGUGCCUGUUCCACAAGAGCGCGAGCGCAUCGAUGGCGCCCGUCGACGCCGCCGUCUCGACGCACGAGGCAUCGCAGCGUGCGGGCGCGGCGUCGCGUUCGUGACCAAGACCAUAUUCGUCGAGCAAGGCGGCGGCUGCGGCGAGGUGACCGCCGGCGGCGGCACUCGCCCACACGCCGGCGACUGAACGAGCGUGCUUGGCACGACGGGGCACGGCGAGGAGCAUGCGCACCAGAUCGAGGUGGCCGCCCUUUGCAGCAAAGCACGCAGCGCUCCACGUGUCGCCAAUGAGGUCGGCGUCGAGCAUCCACCGGAUGACGUCGGCACGACCGGAAAAGGCCGCCCCGCGGCAGUCGACCGGUUCUGGGCAAAGUCCGACAGACACGAGCGCCUCGUGCGCCCAACGUACGGCGCCGAGAUCGCCCCGCUCGACGGCCGUCUCCCAUGCGCGUCCGAUCGUAUAGUCGAUCGCAUGCACAUAGGGAAAGAUGCGCCUCUGGGUUGAAUCGAGCGGCCAGGGUGUGCACAGCGCCGGCAGGUAGCGUUGCCACAGCCAAUCCGCCUCGUCGACGAGGCCGCGGGCGAGCGCGUCCGAGAUGGCGCGCGGAUAGCAGUGGAACCCGUGGCCGGGGUAGGGCGCCUGAUUAUCGUAGCGGCUGCGUGGCAUGGGCAUACGAAGAUGGCGACUGCACGGGCAGGCCGAGUCGGGGUAGCGAUCCUGCGGACGGUUCCGGCGCGUCCAAAAGAGACGCGACGCCAUGCGGCAGCGGGCCGCGUCGCAUGGGUCGUCCAACUGGGACAGGACGGCGUCGACCAUCUCGACGGGCAACGAAUCGAGACCGGCGCGCUGCACAACGGCGAGUUUGCCUUGCGACAUGUCAUUCGGCGCGACGCCUUUUGCUUCCCCGGUGACUUUGGCGUGCCGUGCGCGUCGUGGCAUGAGGAAAAGGAGGGAGCGGUGAAGGACCGAAAAGGCGUCGGCCAACCCAGAGACCUCUAAAAAAAAAAGGGCACAAGCAAAGGACCCGACACGCGCACGGCACCGAGACCAAAGCCGCGACAAUGAAAAAAGACGACAACAACACAGCCCCGCGUCCUUGAAGAGCGAAAGAAACAGAGGCAGCCGUUUUUUUUGACAAAUCAAAAAAAAAGUUGGCUAAAUCUCUCCCUUUUUUUCUCUUUUUUUUUGUGGUCGG
rnacentral:lncRNA from 1 species